GGACCCUGAGGCUGAUCUGGCUGGCUAGGUGGGUGUCACCUUCCUUCCUCACCACUCCAUGUGCGUCCUCCUGGAUGUUGUGCACUUGGAGAGGACAACCUUCCCUGAUGGAGGAGGACCAUCCUUCCAUCAAGGGUAUACUAUUUGCUUUGCUCUCCUGGAAGAACCUUCAAACAAGCUCUCAUUUUCUGCUAUACUCUUUUCCCUAUACAACCUUAAUAACAGUUACACAUUCUAUCUUA
rnacentral:snRNA from 1 species